rnacentral:rRNA from 1 species
GUCUGUGGCCAUGCCACCCUGAACACACCUGAUCCUGUCUGAUCUUGAAAGCUAAGCAGAGUUGGGCUGGGUUAGUACUUGCAUGGGAGACCGCCUAGGAAGACCGGGUGUUGUAGGCG